rnacentral:tRNA from 1 species
GUCCCAGUAGCACAGUGGAUAAUGCACAGCCCCGUUUAGGCGCGAGACGCGGGUUCGAAUCCCGCCUGAGAUG